GGGGCUGAUUCUGGAUUCGACGGGAUUUGCGAAACCCAAGGUGCAUGCCGAGGGGCGGUUGGCCUCGUAAAAAGCCGCAAAAAAUAGUCGCAAACGACGAAAACUACGCUUUAGCAGCUUAAUAACCUGCUUAGAGCCCUCUCUCCCUAGCCUCCGCUCUUAGGACGGGGAUCAAGAGAGGUCAAACCCAAAAGAGAUCGCGUGGAACCCCUGCCUGGGGUUGAAGCGUUAAAACUUAAUCAGGCUAGUUUGUUAGUGGCGUGUCCGUCCGCAGCUGGCAAGCGAAUGUAAAGACUGACUAAGCAUGUAGUACCGAGGACGUAGGAAUUUCGGACGCGGGUUCAACUCCCGCCAGCUCCACCA
rnacentral:tmRNA from 1 species